AAUCCAUGAUGUGGGCAUCUUUGUAUUAGCUUUUUAAAAUGCUUCCAAGCUUCUUGAAAGCUCUUUCCUUCUAACUGUUUGAACGUUGCGAUCUCUCACCUCAAUU
rfam:Gossypium hirsutum cultivar TM-1 chromosome 17, whole genome shotgun sequence